AACGCACAUUGCGCCCGCCAGUAUUCUGGCGGGCAUGCCUGUUCGAGCGUCAUUUCAACCCUCAAGCCCCCGCGCUUGGUGUUGGGGUGCCGGCGUCAAGCGCUGCCCGCAGCGCCCGCCGCCCCCGAAAUCGAUUGGCGGUCUCGUCGCAGCCUCCCUUGCGUAGUAACAUACCACCUCGCAUGGCGGAGCGCGACGCGGCCACGCCGUAAAACGCCCCAAUUUCUCAAGAGUUGACCUCGGAUCAGGUAGGAAUACCCGCUGAACUUAA
rnacentral:misc_RNA from 1 species